AAGCAUUCGGAACCUUGAUUCCACAGGACAGAUGAUAAAAGAAUAUUAUCAGGCAGGUAACACAAGAAAUACAAAUUCAAAAUCAGUGCAUACAGUGCCCAGUCUUCCAAAUGAAGAGAUGAAUAUUAAAACUAUUCAGAGACCACUGGCCAUUAAGUUGAGCAAAAAUCAAGACGUACUUUACAGCCUAAUAUUGAUAGGUCUUAAAGGAAAUGUUUUCAGUCAUAUAAUAUGUUGACACUGCAAACGUAAGCAGAGCUUUUGCGGUACAGUCUGGCAUUAAGUAUUACGAGAGAAAAACAUUUUGCCCAGAGACACUUACUGGGGCUCUAUUUGCUCUGGAAACUAUUAGAGAAUGUUGUAUCUAUAUAAUAGAAUAAUAUUCAUUAAUAAGAAUUCUUUAAGGUUUGGUUUAUAAACUUAGGCAUACAUAAUAAUGUCAAUUAAAUGGCAAUAUAAAAAUUGUAAAUGUUGAUAACUACAUAAAAUUUUUAUGUCUGUUAAAUUGAUAUGAUAUGAAUGACAAUUAUUUGAAGUUUCUAGCUCUUUUCCCUUGUGAGAGUUGUCAGAAUCAAAAUGAAGUCACUUGUAUUAAAUUCUAACAAAAGAUAAAUAAAGCCAGGAGGUUAAGAAGGGAGCUCUCACAUACAUGUCUACCGUAAGAACUGCUACAAAGCAUCUCUGAACAGCUCUUCUUCACGUAUGCCUGUAAUAAGAACUUUUGCCAGCAGUCCCUGCAUCUCUGCAUCCAUGGAGCCCCAUUGACAUUCCCCACCUGCAGCGGCCACUGCAGCUCAAACUGCAGCUUGCUACACGAGUCACAAGGAUAGCUAGCUGGAUGCGCAAGAACAUUUGACUGACACAGUCUCCCCUGUAUCCAAUGUUCUCUUUGUUUUCAAACAAAUUCCCUAUGCUUUUCCCUUUUGCCUUUAAAAGCUUCUCCUGGCUUCAACCUGUUUGGAUAUGCCUGCGGUCCCUAUAGCCCUCAUAUGCUGGAUUUGCAAAUCCCCUGCACUCUCCAGAAUAAACUCAAUUCAAUAAA
rnacentral:sRNA from 1 species